ensembl:lncRNA
GCAGAUAGUACAGUGCACCCUCUAGUUAUAUAUUUGUCUAUAUUAUUAUCUAGCAAUCUAUUAUCUAUUAUCUAGUCAACAUUUCUGAUUUUUCUUACACGUGUCUCACUAAGAAGAACUUGGCAAUGGAGGCUCAGAGGAAGAGCAAGCGUAAAAGGCAGCCUACAAGAGAUCUUGGACGCGUGGAGAAAGCCAUGGCAGAAUCUGUAGUGUGCUGCAGUGAUGGGUCUGACUUUGAGUCAGACACAGUACACCAGCCUACUAAAAGAGUAGCAGCUCAAGCUUUGGCGCUUGCAAAUAAAGAGGACCAAGUGACAGCAGCGCCCUCCUUGCACGAAAAGAGUAUUGAAAAAUCCUCUUCAUCUUCCUCCUCCACCUCCUCCUCAUCCUCCUCCGACAGUUCCUCCUCUUCCUCAUCACCUUCUUCAGAAAGAGGGAAGAAGAAGAAGAAGAAGAAGAAGAAGAAGAAGAAGAAGAAGAAGAAGAAGAAGAAGAAGAAGAAGAAGAAGAAGAACAACAACAAAAAAGACAGCAAGAAAAAAAAAGGGAAGAAAGGAAACAAAAAGAACACCAAGAUAGGAAAGAGAGUCCUCACCCCAGAAGAGUCCAUGGAUCGCUACAGGCGCGUCUUUGUAGCAGUGAAAAAGGGCAUGACAAAAACUGAGGCACACGUCAAAGUCGGGGUUGACCGAAAAACGGUGGCAGCAACGGCCGCCAUUUCGGAGCUACAGGCUGUUGACAAGGACCUGUAUGACCAGCUGAGGGCAUCAAUGCCCAAGGGAGAGACACUUUAUCUUUUUUCGGCAAAAUGUAAUCUAGAAAUACUUGGCAGGAACCUUCAGGAUAAGGUGAAUGAAAAAAAAAGCAACGGGGAACUUUUGCAAAUUGGACACCGGGCAUAGUAAAGAAGAGAGCAGGUUUUUGUUUUGUUUUUAGGGUGCCUUUUUUUUGUUCCAUUUUAAAAUGCCCUUUCUUUGGUUGAUUUGUUCAGUGACAUCAAGAAAUGCCUUGUUAAAAGUGCAGCCUUUAUUUUUGUUCCAUUUUAAAAAGCCUUUUUUUGUUUCUGUUUGUGUUUUAAAUUGUUAAUAUUUUCUGUAUUACCCCGUUAUUAUGUUAUUAUUAUGUUAAAAAUGUUUAACUAAAGUGGCUGUAGAUCCCUCAUUGUCAUCAACAGUGGUUUGGCGUUUUAUAACUAACCCUAAAGUGCUUCACUACUGGUAAACGAAUGAUUCAAAAAGCUUCACUACUGGUAAACGAAUGGUUGAAAAAGCUUAACUACUGGUGAACAAAUGGUUCGCGAAAGAGUAACAACUCAGUAUGAUGCAUUACUUUAC